CUCUGGAGGUGGAAGCGGGAGGAUAGCUUGAGCCGGGACACCAUUUUAUCAAGACCAUUUUAAGUCAAGAAAAACAGUUCUUAAAGUUUCUCUUCUAAACGAGGUCAAUAAUUUAUAGCAAAAGAAAUUUCCCAAUCAUGUUGCCUGGUGAUGAUCCUCCAGAGGGCUUCCAGUAGUGAAUUUUGAGCAUUAUCUUUUGUCCUAACUUUGUGAUUGUGAAGUUAAUUUGCACAGGAACAGUUUCCAUCUCUGGAUAUGUCUGUAUACACUUGGUGGAGCCAAAAGAAAAUUUCAAAGAACUUAGAAGGAACAGAAUGCUUUUCAGAGAUGCUUGCAAAGUCAGAACUCUACUCUGGCUCCGUCCCUCCUACCUACUAGCUCUUCAAGACAACCAGACCAUUGCUUCUGGUUCUAUUUUGGGAUGUAACAGUGGAUUCCAAUAUUCCUAUUGGGAGCCUUGACCAAAGAGGUCAUUAAACAAGCAAGGUUUCUUCUUCCCAAUUACCGGCCACAUCUCACAGCAUAAUUUGGAUAUAUAAUGGGGUUUAAAGACUCCUUCCCCUGAUGGGUGCGAAUGAAGAGAAGAAUAGAGUGAAGAGGAAGAGCAUCCUGUCUGCCAAACUUCAGGUUAUCCUCUCCCAACAUAUGGCAAAGCCAGAGCAAGAGAAACCAGAUAAUGUUUGACUACCUACUAUGUGCCAAGCGUUGACCCUAGUGAUGAGAAAUCCAAACCCUUAAUGUUUCAAAGAAUCACAUGAAAGUAUAGACAUUCACCAUGGCCAUACUGCCCAAGGUAAUUUAUAGAUUCAAUG